rnacentral:tRNA from 1 species
GGAGCUUAGUCUAACUAAGAUAAUUGAUUUCGACUCAAUAGAUCCUAAACUUUUGGGGGCUCCU